UUUUUAUCAAACAAUAAAUUUUAUUAAAUUAAAUAUUAUAUUAGUCACCAACAUAAUUUAAACUUGCGCUGUCAUAUACAAAUUUGACAUAUUUUUACUACUGUAGUAAAAGAUCACUUAAGUUGAUAAUAAGUUAUUAACUCUUGGUCUUCUCGAGAAAUCCAAUUUGUCCUUUAUUUUUUACACUAUUUCUUCCCCUUUCUUUUUGUAGAUGCGGUUCUUUUGCUUUUAAGUGGCUCUCCAGUUUCUCCAGUUCUGCUCUUUUCUCAUGGACUCUCUCACUGGCUUUUGCAGCUUCUUUCUCUGAAAGUGGGUUUUCUUUCCUUUGCAUGUUACUAUUUUAUUUAUUGGCUUGGUGUUUGUCUAGUUUGUAGGGUUUGGAUUUGGCAAUUGAUGCCUAGGGUUUUUCAAUUAGAUGCUUGAAUUCUUCGAGUUAUCAUGUGCUUAAGUGUGAAUUUUUAUACACUUAAUUGUCUUUUUCUGGGGUUUUUUGUUGUUGUUUUUCUGACUUCGGAAAGGGAACUUUGAGUUUUACAGCAAUUAAGAACUUAUUCAUGCAUCAAUACAUAGUUAAGAAACAUUUGGAAAAACUAGAGAAAAUUAAAUUAUUCUUCUUUUUGUUAUUUGUUCUUAAAUAUUAGAUUCAGCAAAGCUUAAUUACAUGUUCCUGGAGCAUGUGCUUUAUCCUUUUCUGUACAUCAGUCUCAAUCUGUAAGAAUUAAGGUUAAAAGUUUGUGUUUUGACUAUUUUCUUAACCCUUUUUGUGCAAAAAAUUAAGGCUUGAGGUGAAGGAAUUUAAUUUGCUUUCAAGUUGGACCGAGAAGAUCCAUCCUCAAAAGAAAUAAUCUUAGAUUUUUCCAUUAAUUCUUCAAAGCUUUUGUAUAUUUUAUUGGGUCUUGUACAAUUUAUAAUCAAGAUUUUCUAAAUCUAGAGUACCAGUUUAAUUUCUAUUGAAAAUUAGAUGGUUUGGGGUUGUAGAUAGUGUUCUUAGAUAUCUCUAGAUGAGGUUUCUGAUUAGGGAUGGGCAACGGUGAUGGCGAGUGGGUAACCGUGGUUAUUUACUCAUAACCGUUUAAGCUUUUACCCACAUAAUCGUUUACCUGUUGGGUAUUUACAUAAACAGGAUGCUCAUACCCAUAACCGUUUAUAAACGGUUAAUCAUACCCAUAAUCGCAUACCCAUUUACUCAUAAACAUGUACCCGUUUACUUUUUUUUUUUUUUUUACCCGUCUACCUAUUUUUUUAACAACUUGAAAAUUAAAAAGAAAUUUGUCAUAAUUUUCUUUUUUCUAACUAUUAAAUACUGUUAUAAGUACAUUUAACAUGUAUUUUUAUAUUAAUGGCAAUAUUAUUUAUGAAUAUAUGUGAUGUCUCCUAAUUAUUUGACGGUCAAUUUAUUACAAGAAUUAUGCAUGGUUGUAGGUUAAUUAAUAUUCUUGUAUACAUACUUACAUAUAUAUAUAUAUAUAUAUCUGUAAGUACACAUCAGUCUGCUAAUAAGCUAAUUUGAUAAAUAUUUGGAUUUUUAUUUAGAAACAUAUGUUCAUCUAUCUAAGCCGUUUAAUCAAUUUCUAAUUUUGGGGUCAAAUAUUUAUUGAAAACUUGAGGCCAAUUAAAUUUAUAUAUAUAUAUAUAGAUAGGUACGCAUUAUCUGAUAACAACAUGUUUCUAAAUGCUCAAGGUAAUUAUUAUCUUGAAUUGGUCAAAACUCCAAAAGACAACUGUCGAACACUUUAAUGCUUUAGCAUGUUCAAUCACAUAUAUUAAACAUUAACCCGUUCUAUCAACUAUAUUUUUCUCUCAAGUGAGGCAUAAAUAUAUAUAUAUAUAUAUAUAUAUAUAUUAUAUGGCCCUUUAUAACCAAAUAUAUCUCAGGAUAUUAAACCUAGUUAGAAACAAUUUUUUUUUUUUGGUUUAACAUAUAUUAAAAUAAACGGUUAAAUGGGUACCCGUUUAUAACCGCGAGUAAUAUCCAUAACCGUCCAUUUAAAUUUCACAAGUAAACAGUUAUACUCAUAACCGUUUAUUUAUCUAAACGGUUACCCAUAACCGUAACCGUCAAAUUUAAAUGGGCGGAUAACCGCGGUUACCCAUAACCAAUGGGUAUUUGCCCAUCCCUAUUUCUGAUAGUCUUUUGCAUGUGUUGUUGUGUUCUUAGUUUCAUGUUGAUAUGUCGCUAAAAGAUCAAUCUUGGUCUGCAACUUAGGUCUUACGUAUUCUCUAGUCAUGCUUGAUAAAUUUUCAACCAAGCACCUUAAUUAGUUACUGGUAUAUGUCAGGCUUCUCUGGAGAUGAUUAUGAUACUACUGUUCUGGGUCUAAAUUUUCUGUGCUAACAAUCUAGGUCAGUUGGUCUUAUUAGGGAUAUCAGAUCUUUGGUUGGUAUUUUAUAUAUGUGUAAUUGUAUGUAUGUAUGUAUAAAGUUCAUUUUUUAUCUUCCCCCAAUUUAAGUGGGGAAAUUUGAUUGCAUGUGGAGGAUAAUUCCUUGACAAUUGUUGUGAUUGUUAGAACAUUAUAAACUGCUUUUUUUCAUUGCUACUGACGUCUGAGUUGAGCUAGGGUUUGAUGUUGUGUGACGACGAGAGAGAGCACGCUUGUCAUCACCCAUGAAAGGAUCAUGGUUGUUUACGGGCGUGCUCUCUCUUGUUGUCAUACAGUCCACCUGCUCUUUCUUUGGCAUGUGAUAUUAACUUGCAGGUGAUUUUGAUCUCUAACUAUACUCGCCCAGAAUUCACAUAUGAUAUGAAUAUAACUUGUUAUAUGAUAUGGAUAUUACUUUUUUUUACUUCAAUUUGUUGUAAAUUUUUCGUGGAAUCAAUUUUGUGAGCUUAUUGAGUCUCAUGUUUUGAGAUCCCAAAUUAAUGUGCUCAUUCAACCAUUGAUAAAACAUUUGGACAAAAAAAAAAAAAAAAGAAGAAGAAGAAGAAGAAACUAUAGCUCACCAAAUGUGUAAUGCUAGCUAUCAAAUAGCGGAUCUUUGCGUUCAGGGAAAGAGCCACAUCACCUAGAAGUCCGUCUACUUGACUCUUACUAAUAAUAAGAAAGGGGCAAGCCAAAACCUACUGGUACCAAGUUGCUGGCGUUUCAGUCGUUGGUAAUGCAGAUGUAUCAAUCAAACCCGUAUGAUUCAUUCAUUAGAAAAUGUACAGGCGGUGCAUUGAGGCUACUUUAUUGUGCUUAGGGUUGAGGUUAAGAAAGGUUGUAUACCAUAUAUUAUUAUCACUUAAUAUUGGAACUUCAAUAUGCAUCUGUAGAACAUAAAUGAAUCAUGUACCUCAACCAAUUAAGUUUGUUGAUUGGGGACUUAGGCUGGGGUUGAAAAGAUUUGUGCUGAUCACGAUCAGUGCUAGUUGUGUUGUGCCUACUGCAGAUGUUGACAAAUUUAGUGAAAUUUUGCUAAUUAAUCUCUGAUUCAGCUGUAAUUAUUGAUCUUUGCUGAUUUGCCUCCCUUGUUUUAAUGAUAAUUGGGCCCAAAACCCAUCACAUGUUCUUUAUACAUAUUAGAAGCAAAAAAAGAAAGUUUGAAAAACAAGUUAGAUUUUUAUGAGAAUCUAUAAGUUGAAGGUUUGUUUGAUUUGAAAAGAAGGGUAGUUUUUGCAUAUGAGAAAGUAUAAGGAGAAGAUUUGAUUUGUUUGGGUCCAUUACUAUGUUUCUAACUUAAACAUAAAAGCAAAGAGAAGGGUCUAUUUUGCAUAUGGGAUAGGGCAAAUUUGGAUACUUUGUUUUCUUUGCACGCAUUGUUGUGCUUUUCAAACGUCUAUAAUUUAUAAACAUUCUCAACAUUCAGUUUUGUUCAAUUUUCAUUUUUGUAUUUAGAUUCAUAAAAAAUAGAGAAAUAUAUACUAUAACGAAGGAGCAGCUAUGGCCAUUGUGCCAUGAGAUUGUGGAGGAACCAGAAGGCCAUUGUGGCAUGAUCAAGAUCGUCAUUGUGGUUGCAUGAGUAGAUAAUCUCUCUUUCGUUCUUAGUUCUUGCAUUUUUAUAUUACUCCAUCAUAAUUUGGCAAUGCUAACUUGGUAUUUGUAGAGUUGAUGGUGAUGGUGAGAUGUGGUUUGGCAGCUGGUACAUGGUGUUUUAGUGGUAAGUGAAUCAACAUAGGUUUCUUAUUUCAUUGAGAUUAUACCUUAAGUCUAACUUGUUUUUGCGGUCUCUUUCUUACAAAGGAUGAAAUAGAUCCUCUAUAUUUUGUUCUAUGGAACUAUCCGCUAGCACACACGUGAAUGUGGUGCUGAUCUCUAAUUAUUGCAUAAUGAUUUUAUAUAUUUAUCACGAGUUUUAACUUGAAGUAUACCUGUUGUUUCCUUUCUGAAUUACUAUAUGAACUUGAAUUUUCGUGUGGGAUUUAAAUUUUGCUUAUUCAACCUUCGGAAAAUCUAAUGUAGUUGCAAUGCAUAAAUUUUACGUAAAUCAUUUUCAUCAGUCAUUCUUGGCUGUGGUCCUAAUGUAAUUGGUUAAUGCAAAAAUAAAUUGUUUUACCUUUUUAGAAUUAGACUGAGCAUUUUUAGAUGUUCCUGAUGUAGAUUAUGAAAACUAAAUGAAAUUCCUAAUCGAGCAAUAAUUUCAUUUUUUUUUUUACCAUUUAGGAUUUGAAUUUGAAUUUUGUGGUGGUUUUUUACCCCUUUUACUUUUAUUUGUUGCAUAAUGGAGGAAGAACAAUUCUUGGCUACUCAAAGAUGAUUAGGAAUUCCUACUCAAAACUCUUUGUGUUCGAAUCACAGAGCUUUGUGCUUAUGAUCAAAACCGUUCAUAUUGCGAAUCUCUCUGUAAAGAUCAUCUCUGCAAAAAAAGGAAUUAAAACUAAAGUUGUUCGGCCAUUCUAUUGUAGCAAAUACAUAGACGGUUCAUAAUGCUUUUACCAAUUCCAUUCAUCUGUUUUUAUACAGUUUGAUGACUAAACGGCCUUAGUUUUAAUUGAUUUUUUGCAGAAUCGAUCUUUAUAAAGUGAUUUAUAACAUGAACGGUUCUGAUCAUAAACACGAAGUUUUAUGAAUCGGCAAUGAACAGUUUGAGUAGGAACUCAUACUCAUCCUUUGAGUAGCCAAGUACUAUUCAUGUAGGAAAGGAUGAACAUGGCUAGCGUUGGGUUGAGGAGUAUUCCAUUCCCCUUAUUUGUCCUUGGUCCUACCAGUAUUUGUACCCUCUUCCCACCAUUGAAUGGUAAACUCUAAAGCUAUCAAGCAUCAACAACCAAAAAAAAUUGUUGCUCACUGAUGGGACAUGAAUUUGUUGUUAAUAUGAUUGAACAAAUCCAUUACUGGAAACAGAAGCAAAAGAUGUGCACAUUGCUUUUACCUACUAACAAGUGGAAGACUUAAGAAUGGAGAGCAACAUUGCUAAUGGCAGUGUGAGAGUGAAGGAUGGAAAUGUGAUUUUUCAGCUGUUGGUGUUACCUUGGUUGCGUAGCAGACCAUGCAAGAUGAGGUGGUUAGGUCUUUUCCAUUGUUUGAAGCCCUCACCAAAAAGGAACAGAAAUUUCGAAGUGCUUGAACGAUCACCAGAAGUUGAAUCUGAACACAGAAGAUGUGUCCUAGAUGUGUCUGGUUCAACCCGCUUGUAAAUCUGGAAGAGGAUUUGAUUUUACAUUUGUGUUCAUCAGGCGUACUGUCUCGAAGGGUCCCUGGAAUAUUCUACACUUUUGGAUCAGCCUUUGCAGUCUAGCAUCUCAUUCAAGCUCAGGUGAGAUCAAAACUGGGAUCCGCUGUUAUUCAAGACCCGCGGCCUUUAUUAUUGAAUCAGAGAUCACCGUCCCAGCUUGGAUGAUUAUGUAUGAUACCAGGUGGGUUGGGAGUUGGGAUGUCAAACGUCCUUUUGAGUUAACCAAAACCUAGCAUGGUCUAUGCAUGCAUUAUUUUUACUUGGAUUUUAUGUAGAUUCUAAAAAACCAAAACUUUCUUCAAUACUACUACGUAGCAUUAAAUGGCUAUGGAAAUAAAUAUAACGGCGUUUAUCCAUACCAUUCAAUGAUACGUAUAUAGAAUACCUGAAAGCCAGCCGGUGGAUGUUUUUUUCCUUUAUCAGAAACUUCUUCAGCGUCUCAUUUUUCCUGUAGCAUCUCAUUUCUCUAGAUUGUGAUGUUCUUAUAAAAUUAGGUGGUGA